AUUGAACGCUGGCGGCAUGCCUUACACAUGCAAGUCGAACGGCAGCACGGGAGCAAUCCUGGUGGCGAGUGGCGAACGGGUGAGUAAUAUACCGGAACGUGCCCAGUCGUGGGGGAUAACGUAGCGAAAGCUACGCUAAUACCGCAUACGAUCUAUGGAUGAAAGCGGGGGAUCGCAAGACCUCGCGCGAUUGGAGCGGCCGAUAUCAGAUUAGGUAGUUGGUGGGGUAAAAGCUUACCAAGCCUGCGAUCUGUAGCUGGUCUGAGAGGACGACCAGCCACACUGGAACUGAGACACGGUCCAGACUCCUACGGGAGGCAGCAGUGGGGAAUUUUGGACAAUGGGCGCAAGCCUGAUCCAGCAAUGCCGCGUGCAGGAUGAAGGCCUUCGGGUUGUAAACUGCUUUGUUACGGAACGAAACGGACCCUUUCUAAUUACAGGGGUUAAGUGACGGUACCGUAAGAAUAAGACACCGGCUAACUAACGUGCCAGCAGCCGCGGUAAU
rnacentral:rRNA from 1 species